UAUAGGGGGUGUUUGGCAGGGAGGGGCUAAAUUUUAGCCCCUGUCACAUCGGAUGUUUGGACACUAAUUAGGAGUAUUAAACAUAGUCUAAUUACAAAACUAAUUGCACAACCCCUAGGCUAAAUCGCGAGACGAAUCUAUUAAGCCUAAUUAGUCCAUGAUUUUGACAAUGUGGUGCUACAGUAACCAUUCGCUAAUGAUGGAUUAAUUAGGCUUAAUAGAUUCGUCUCGCGAUUUAGCCUAUGGGUUCUGCUAUUGGUUUUUUAAUUAGCUCAUAUUUAGUCCUCCUAAUUAGCAUCUGAACGUGUGAUGUGACAGGGCUAAAGUUUAGCCCCUGACAUCCAAACGCCCCCAUAG
rnacentral:lncRNA from 1 species